rnacentral:rRNA from 1 species
AACUUUCAACAAUGGAUCUCUUGGUUCCGGCAUCGAUGAAGAACGCAGCGAAAUGCGAUAAGUAAUGUGAAUUGCAGAAUUCCGUGAAUCAUCGAAUCUUUGAACGCACAUUGCGCCCCCUGGUAUUCCGGGGGGCAUGCCUGUCCGAGCGUCAUU